UCUUCCCUCUCUCGCCUCUUCCGCGGCGGUGCUGGGGUCCUCUAGGUGUUUCUAUGACUACAUUGUGUGUGUGGGAGGGUCAGAUGUGGGGGUUGCCCGCGAGAGGGCCGUUCCUGGGCGAUCAUUUAUCAAUGUCACCCACAUAAUGAUUCUCUCUGCAGCCUCCUAUUGAUGAGGAUAAUUACAUUAGCUCAGAGUGACUGAUCAAUGAAAAACCACCACACAAAAACUUCUUUACUCCUCUAUAAUACCAAAAACCGAUACAGAAAUAACAUAGAGAGCCUGAUUUUUUCUUUCCCUUCUCUAUCCACCAAUGGAUUCUGCUCCCCCCCACCCACUCACCCCAACCAAAGGACGGGGGAAUAAAGUAAGAAAAUAGAUCUAGGUUUGUUUCGUUUCAAGGAGGAUGCAAUUUUGCCCGUGAAUGCAUUUUCUCUAAAUGUGUUGGCUUCAUUCCUCCUUUGGUAAAGAAUAUCAACGGAUUUGCUAAUAGAACCUAGCCCAGGAACGUCCAGUGGUUUCAGAUCAAAUCGAAGCAACAAAGCUGCGUGAAACUAAAGCCUGCCUUGCAAGCUCCAAGCGUCUCAGCUGUCUGGUCCAGAGAUAACAUCAGAGCGCCCCCUGCUGGCCCGCCGAGUAGACCACGGCCAGUCAGCCCCCUGCGAAGCGAAUCGUAUCGUGUUUUUCCGAGCUCUCCCCCGCCCUUUCUUGACUUCUUCUACCAAACCUACCUUCAUUUUGCUGCAAAACGCCCCGGCAAGGGAAUAACUUGUCAAGGCUGAACAUUUAAAUGAAUAAACGAUAAUAAUAAUAAUAAAAUGCGAAGGAACUCCCACCUUCACUUGGCCUCCGGGGAAUAAACUAACACAUUUUCGUUUUCUAAAUCUCUUUAUUCUGUGAGGUUUUGCUGUAGUUUCUUUCUGCUGAACUGUAGAUUCCAAGGAAAUGUUUUAAAAGAUGCUGUAGAAGUUCUUUUUUUUUUAAAAAAAGAAGUAUAUCUGAUGGAAAAAGCGGCCAAUACAAAACGAUAUUUCACAUCCUUGCAAAAUCAAACUCCUGGGGACUCUUCACUGUUUUACCAAAGUCCAGAGGAAUCCUUUCGGAAUUCAGACAGUUCCUUGUGGUAAAUGACCCUUUCCUGCAUCCUGCACCCUCCAAGAAAUACCAGCCCCAUCUGAAAUUUUCUUUUUUCUCUUAUUUUCAUUAAUUUUUUUUAAUUUAAAAGUUGUCACAGUACCCAUCUACCUAAACAUACACACACACACACACACACACACACACACACACACACUUUUUAUGCCCCACUUGUGUGCCUAUUCUUUACUGGCUUGUGCUUCUCAAUUUUGCUGGAAACGGAAAGGGUGGUUGAAGUGCAGCAAAAUAAACCGCGAUGUCUUUGACACUUGAUCUUACUAUGGCAUUUCACGUCCAAUGCAAGCUGUGGGACUGCUACCAUCUGAGUGUUUGGGUUAUUUUUCAACGGUUCGAUGCAAAGAGGCGUUUUCUUGGCUUCCCAAUUAAUCUUCAGUGGGAUUUAUGAGCACUGUGUAACACGAGGGCGCACAGGUAACGAGAGCCGGGGCAAUCUCGGGUUGGCCGACGCGCCGACUCCACCGUCAGCCUCUACCCUUGGGAAAGAAGCUGGCAAAGCAGCCCUGACUCGGAAAAGUCUUCUGACCACAGCUAGACCCCCACAUGAAGCAUGUAAAUCUACAGGGCGGAACGACUUCAGUUUCUGGGGGAAUUUUUGGUUUUGCUUUUGCAAGUACCAGAUUGCGGGAUUUUGUGAAAGCAAUUCUCAGAAAUGAGCGGGGGAAGAAACAUCGGGCAGGGAGGACAGUAGGGAAAAGGUGGAUCUCCUGACUUUAAUUUCCUGCCAGGUCUUCGGUUUAAAAAUCCGUUCUCUUUCCUCGCUUCUCUGCAGAAUCUCCCGUGUCAACCCUUCUACAACUCAUGCCCCGCCCCUCUUUGGGGAAGCUCCAGGACGGGACAGGGACCCAGAAACCCCAGAGAAGGAGCUCUCCCAGGGCAAGGCAGAGGUUCUAAAGUCAUUGUGCGGAGAAGGCAGGAGUGAAUUGAGUCCCCAGGGACAGCGGACUCGGGGCAAGAAGACCGCCUGAAAUAUGAUCCGAACCUGUUUUGUGUGAUGCACUUGGGUUUGGGGGUCAGGUCGAAGGUUUCAAAGCUCUUAGUGUGCAUGUGUGAAUCUCAGUCUCCCCACCCCCUCCACUCCGACCUCUUCUCUUGUCCCUCUCCCCAUUUCUCCCUCUUUGCCUUUUUCCACACUUCUCCGAAAAUCUAUUUUGUUUGUCCGUGUGAAUUUUAGGCUUAUCUAUUAAGUUCAAAGUAUUUCUCAGAAACAUUCACACAGAAGGAGGCUCUUGGGCUGUAAAUGAGCCCAUUUGCCGUUUGAAAUAGAAUAAAAUUUGAGAUGUUUAGGAUACUGAUGUCACUGUACACACACACACAGCUAACAUUGAGAUUUUUUUUUUUUUCUGUUGGAAUAAGAAACCAAUCCAGGUCACUAUGUGAAAGCAAGUUCCCCUAAAUUUUAGGACUUACAUAAAUUGCACUUGAGGCAUUUUUUCAUUUGGAAUUGUCCAAACUCUUUUCAGCUUUCCACUUUACCUGGUAAACAUGAAGGGAAGGAAGUCGUGCUUUUAAAAGAUAAAAAUCAUCAACAAGAUUGAUAAUUUCCCCUCUUAUAGAAAACAAGCCAGAUCCAUGGACAGAAAGUCCUGCAUUCUCAACCAGAUGAAGGAUUGGAAGGGAGCUCAGGCCCUGAGGCAGGUGACACUGGACACUGCUGGGCACCUGAGCCACACAUUUGCACCUGCACCUCAUCACACCAUGCUCCAGCCCCUCUUUUCCAGCUAGUUUCCCUUACCAGUGCUGGGGAAUAAAAAUAGUUCUUGGGACCAAGCACAAAGAGGGUUAAAUGAACUUCAAGCUUUAGGUGUUAUAUUCCAGACUCCUUGGUGAGUAAGGGUAGCUUCCUGAAGAUUCACAAAUUCACAGAUCACAAAUUAGCCUUGUACGUUUCUCUUUUCUCUUUCCUUUCUUCUCCUACAAAAACAGACACACACACACACACACACACACACACACACACAGCAACUUAGUCAUGUGCAUACAUACAAACCUACAAGGCUCUGUAAUUACUGUCACCUCUUCCCACCAAUCCUACCAGAUUCCUUCUCACUUCUGCAGCCAGAACACACAAAAAGGGAAAGAGAGAACAACAAUAUAAGUAAAAAGCCAUGUGCAAACCCCUCUCAAGACCUGCUGGAGGAAGAGUACAACUAGCGUCAAAAUGCAGGAGAUUGGGGUGCAAUGGCAAGUGAGGAUCUUCUUGGUUCCAGUCUUGUGGUGGACACCUCUCCUGGAGGGUGGAAGUUAGGUGAGGGGUGUUUUUGAUUUCCCUGUGCUCUUCCUAAGUUCCUGGGAAGGGAACUAGGAAGAGAUCCAGGCUUUGACCCCAGGGAGUCCCAGGACUUGGAGAAAUUGCACAGGGUAAGCACCUACGAAUUGUUGGGAUGUAAGGUCCUGUUGGCCAGAGCAGAAGUCUGCAAUCGUGGAGACCCAUGUUCAACUCCUUGAUCCCUUUGCCUUAGCACCCUUUAAAGACACAGAAGGUUGCUGAGAAUGCCCAGGUCUACUCUACUCCUGCAACCUGGUACCAGAGAUAGAGGGCCUGUCUCUGGCUCCAAGGGCAAAUUUGGGGCUGGAGAAGGAAGUGCUGUCAGAAUCACUCCCCACCUCACUCCCACCUUACCCCAUAAGUUUCAUCUCUAGAUCUCUAUUAUCCCUUCUAAGGGCAGGCCAGCAGGAUUAUUGUGUAGUUUGGGAGACCUGGCAGAGUAACAGCAAAGACCUGGAUGGGUCUAAUUCUGCUUUUGGAAAGUAGGAGGAGAGAAGAAGAAAGAGACACAAUUACCGAAAAGUGAGUUUUCCAACAGCUUCCUCAACCAAGCAAGUUUAGAAAAGUCCAUUACCUCCCAUCUCAUCCACCACUCUGGAAGGAACUUAAACAUAUGAAGAAUCACAUCUCCCUUGCCACGUGAAAACUUGUUGCAAAGAUGUCUUGAGGGCUCUGACUAAUGCCACUUGCAGGCUCAUUCUUACUUCUGAAGCAAAGGAAUAGAUUAUAUCUGGGGAAGAGGCCUCCAGAGUUAGGUUUGCUUCUCCCUCUUUUACACUCCUGUUUUAAAUGUCUGUAGAGGAAAACAUUUACUCUCCUCUUUUAAAUGUAGUAGGAAGCUUUUUUUUUUUUAGUCAAUCAAAUGUGUAAUUGUGUUUACAUAGAAUUAAGGUGUAAAUUAUCUUUUUUUUCCAACUAUGCAUAGAUAUGUUUAAAGGAUUGGCCUGAACAGAGUGUGCUUUUAAAGAGAAAAAAAAACUCUGAAAUAUAAACUUCAAAGUUAAGAAUAUCUUGGAUAAUAAUGUUUCCUAAACCAAACUAACCAAUACACAAAAAUAAUACAUUAUUGUGUCUUUAAAGCAAGUUCCCCUAAAAGAAAUUAGAAGCAAUAUCUGACUGCUUGUUUAUUUAUCCAGGUCUCUUAAUUUUAGUGCAGAUUCAAUAAUGUGCUCAAAAAAGGGUGAUAUUUCCACCAAAAGAGAGCUAAGACAGUUACUUAUACUUUGCAGCUCAUUCAUGGACCUCAUGACUUUUUGAAUGUUCAAAUGAGGUUUAAAUAAAAUAAGGUCCCAGGGGAUUGAUGAGUUCAAGUUACUUUUAUUUUAUUUCUAAAUUAGAAAUUUUAUUUCUAAAUUAUGUUCAAUUUGAUUUUCUUGCUUUUCUAUAAAGGGCCUUAGAAAAUCCAAUAGGAGUGGACAAUUUACAGCAUGUCCUAUGUCCUAUGACAUAUUUGUAAAAUUGCGUGGUGACGUAUGCCUCCUUUAAUGUUUCUGUGGAGACCAAAGUAUUCCCAAUUAGAUUUAGAAACAUAGCUGGCAUGCUAAUUCAAAGGCAUUCACUUCAAAGACAUAAUAAUCACUAAAUUUUGACAAAUUUUCUAAACUAUCUCUAAAUUUCUAAGCAGAAGUUUACAGACUGUUCAGAGUCUCAUUCCCUGGAUAUUGGCAUGCUGUUUUCAAUGGCCAGCUAUGUUGAGUGUCUGUCUGACCAGAUAAUGGUUAAGACAGAAGUUUGCAAAUAAAUUCCCUACAGUUCAGUUUUAACAUAAUAUCUCAAAGUUCUCCUAGGCAUUAUUUAAUAGAUAACCAAGCUCUUCAGAUCAAGGCCCGUGAGGCCACAUCUGGAAACGCUUCCUUUGCUCUACCCGCCCCUGCCCCCAGCCACCAGUGAGAGCAAUAGCCAAAACCCCCCUUCCACCAUUAUACGAUAGCAUCAGCUUUUAAUCAGCAAGAGGCACUCCUAUUUAAAUUUACAGGAUGACUCUUUAUUUCAUUUAUCUUUUCUUUUGGAGGAAAGUGAAACAAGAGCAACACCCUUAUUAAUUAUAAGAUUGAUGGGGUGAAAAAAGCCAAAUGAAUUUGGCUUGCAAAUUAUUAGUAGAGGUAUGAAUAUUUAUGAAUGUGCCAGGAACUGCAGUCAUGAACCCUGGCUAUCAAGCUUGGGAGACAGUCAGACCAAUGUAUUCAAUGAGGGUUCAGUCUUCCCAAAUCUGACAUGACAUAAAUGGAAACUUCUAAAUUAGACCCAGGGUGGGCUCCCAUCAAAUAAGUUACUUUUGUGUGUGUGUGUGUGUGUGUGUGUGUGUGUGUGUAGCUAAUCUUGCUAAAUAUGAAGUUUGCAAGGCCUCCACCAUAAACUUUAAAAACCUUCUAAGGUAAAGGCAGAUAAGUUUUGGGGAGAGAAUUUUUUUCAUUUUUUCCUUCUUGAUAUCCAUUGAUAUUUUAAGUCGAGUUUAUCUGUAAAAUAUUUGUGACAUGUAUCUUUAAAAUUUAAAACUUCAUUCUGUGUAAAAAUAUUGAAAACCUAAAAUACCCUGGGAAUAGAGAGGAUUUAAAUAGACAUGAUCUAAGUUAGAUACAGAGAGAAAUAAGAGGUAAAGAGAGAUCAGCAGCUGGGCACAGUGAUGCAUGCCUAGAAUGUAAGCCACUCAGGAGGCAAAGGUAGGUGGACCACAAGUUCAAGGCUAGCCUCAGCAACUUAGCAAGACCCUGUCUCAAAAUUAA